CCCCCCGGGGCCCACGGGAGCCGCGUCCGACUCCAGAUCGGAAGGUUGCGUGUUCAAAUCACGUCGGGGUCA
rnacentral:tRNA from 1 species